UACGUAGGGCGCAAGCGUUGUCCGGAAUUAUUGGGCGUAAAGAGCUCGUAGGUGGCUUGUCACGUCGGGUGUGAAAGCUUGGGGCUUAACUCCAGGUCUGCAUUCGAUACGGGCUGGCUAGAGGUAGGUAGGGGAGAACGGAAUUCCUGGUGUAGCGGUGGAAUGCGCAGAUAUCAGGAGGAACACCGGUGGCGAAGGCGGGUCUCUGGGCAGUAACUGACGCUGAGGAGCGAAAGCGUGGGGACCGAACAGG
rnacentral:rRNA from 1 species